rnacentral:tRNA from 1 species
GGCCUCGUAGCCCAGCUGGUAGAGCGUGCGCUGUAUAAAAGCGAAGGCACGUCCAUGCCUGGGUUGAAAUCCCACCGAGGCUA